CCUACGGGUGGCAGCAGUGAGGAAUAUUGGUCAAUGGCCGAGAGGCUGAACCAGCCAAGUCGCGUGAGGGAAGAAUGUCCUAUGGAUUGUAAACCUCUUUUGUCAGGGAGCAAAGUCACCCACGUGUGGGUGUUGGAGAGUACCUGAAGAAAAAGCAUCGGCUAACUCCGUGCCAGCAGCCGCGGUAAUACGUAGGUGGCAAGCGUUGUCCGGAUUUACUGGGUGUAAAGGGCGUGCAGCCGGAGAGACAAGUCAGAUGUGAAAUCCACGGGCUCAACCCGUGAACUGCAUUUGAAACUGUUUCCCUUGAGUGUCGGAGAGGUAAUCGGAAUUCCUUGUGUAGCGGUGAAAUGCGUAGAUAUAAGGAAGAACGCCAGUGGCGAAGGCGGAUUACUGGACGAUAACUGACGGUGAGGCGCGAAAGCGUGGGGAGCAAACAGGAUUAGAUACCCCUGUAGUC
rnacentral:rRNA from 1 species